rnacentral:rRNA from 1 species
CCUACGGGAGGCAGCAGUAGGGAAUCUUCCGCAAUGGACGAAAGUCUGACGGAGCAACGCCGCGUGAGUGAUGAAGGUUUUCGGAUCGUAAAACUCUGUUGUUAGGGAAGAACAAGUACCGGAGUAACUGCCGGUACCUUGACGGUACCUAACCAGAAAGCCACGGCUAACUACGUGCCAGCAGCCGCGGUAAU